CCUACGGGAGGCAGCAGUGGGGAAUAUUGCACAAUGGGGGAAACCCUGAUGCAGCGACGCCGCGUGAGUGAAGAAGUAUUUCGGUACGUAAAGCUCUAUCAGCAGGGAAGAAAAUGACGGUACCUGACUAAGAAGCCCCGGCUAACUACGUGCCAGCAGCCGCGGUAAUACGUAGGGGGCAAGCGUUAUCCGGAUUUACUGGGUGUAAAGGGAGCGUAGACGGCAGCGCAAGUCUGGAGUGAAAUCCCAUGGCUUAACCAUGGGACUGCUUUGGAAACUGUGCAGCUAGAGUGCAGGAGAGGUAAGCGGAAUUCCUAGUGUAGCGGUGAAAUGCGUAGAUAUUAGGAGGAACACCAGUGGCGAAGGCGGCUUACUGGACUGUAACUGACGUUGAGGCUCGAAAGCGUGGGGAGCAAACAGGAUUAGAUACCCCGGUAGUC
rnacentral:rRNA from 1 species